rnacentral:misc_RNA from 1 species
AAAAAAUCGAUAGGAAGAGCCAAUAGCAAAGUCAAUCUAUCAUUAUCUGACCUAAUUUUUCUCUCAAAUUCCGCCGUACUGAAGAUAUCGAUAUCUUCUCUCACUGUCACUUCUCUGUAUCGGUGAUUUGAGGUAAUGAGAAUUACGGUUUGGUGUUUUUUUGACGUUUAGUGAAUUAGAGGAGAGGAGUAUGGGAUUUGCUUACUGUUUAUGGCAGCCGAAUG